rnacentral:rRNA from 1 species
UGGGGAAUAUUGCACAAUGGGCGCAAGCCUGAUGCAGCCAUGCCGCGUGUGUGAAGAAGGCCUUCGGGUUGUAAAGCACUUUCAGCGGGGAGGAAGGCGGUGAGGUUAAUAACCUCAUCGAUUGACGUUACCCGCAGAAGAAGCACCGGCUAACUCCGUGCCAGCAGCCGCGGUAAUACGGAGGGUGCAAGCGUUAAUCGGAAUUACUGGGCGUAAAGCGCACGCAGGCGGUCUGUCAAGUCGGAUGUGAAAUCCCCGGGCUCAACCUGGGAACUGCAUUCGAAACUGGCAGGCUAGAGUCUUGUAGAGGGGGGUAGAAGUCCAGGUGUAGCGGUGAAAUGCGUAGAGAUCUGGAGGAAUACCGGUGGCGAAGGCGGCCCCCUGGACAAAGACUGACGCUCAGGUGCGAAAGCGUGGGGAGCAAACAGG